rnacentral:rRNA from 1 species
GAUGAACGCUGGCGGCGUGCUUAACACAUGCAAGUCGAACGGUGAAGGCGGAGCUUGCUCUGCUGGAUCAGUGGCGAACGGGUGAGUAACACGUGAGCAAUCUGCCCCUGACUCUGGGAUAAGCGCUGGAAACGGCGUCUAAUACUGGAUACGAGCUGCGAAGGCAUCUUCAGCAGCUGGAAAGAAUUUCGGUCAGGGAUGAUCUCGCGGCCUACCAGCUUGUUGGGGAGGUAAUGGCUCACCAAGGCGUCGACGGGUAGCCGGCCUGAGAGGGUGACCGGCCACACUGGGACUGAGACACGGCCCAGACUCCAACGGGAGGCAGCAGUGGAGAAUAUUGCACAAUGGGCGAGAGCCUGAUGCAGCAACGCCGCGUGAGGGACGACGGCCUUCGGGUUGUAAACCUCUUUUAGCAGGGAAGAAGCGAAAGUGACGGUACCUGCAGAAAAAGCGCCGGCUAACUACGUG